rnacentral:rRNA from 2 species
UGUGGAGCCAUCCUUGAAAUACCACCCUUGUAUGUUUGAUGUUCUAACAUAGGCCCCUUAUCGGGGUUGUGGACAGUGCCUGGUGGGUAGUUUGACUGGGGCGGUCUCCUCCCAAAGAGUAACGGAGGAGCACGAAGGUUGGCUAAGUACGGUCGGACAUCGUACGGUUAGUGCAAUGGCAGAAGCCAGCUUAACUGCGAGACAGACACGUCGAGCAGAUACGAAAGUAGGUCAUAGUGAUCCGGUGGUUCUGAAUGGAAGGGCCAUCGCUCAACGGAUAAAAGGUACUCCGGGGAUAACAGGCUGAUACCGCCCAAGAGUUCAUAUCGACGGCGGUGUUUGGCACCUCGAUGUCGGCUCAUCACAUCCUGGGGCUGAAGUCGGUCCCAAGGGUAUGGCUGUUCGCCAU